UUUAUAUAAUAUUUUCUUGCUGUUUGUGAAGGUCUUGACCAUUCCCUUGCUAUCUAGUUACCCUUUUCUAGCUAUGCUGAAUGGCCUUGCCCUCAUGCUGCUGAUUAACUGCGCUUCCAUCCUGAAGAACGUACUCGCUGUAUCAAUCACAACAGGAUUGUUCCUUCUGCAAAAUAGAUCAGUGACACAACAACAAAGAGGUGCUGCAAAUGGAAUUUCGAUGUCUGCCAUGUCCCUUUUCAAAGCAAUUGGUCCAGCUGCUGGGGGUUCUCUCUUCUCUUGGGCACAAAAGCGUCAGGAUGCCUUCUUUUUUCCAGGUGAUCAAAUGAUCUUCUUCCUCCUUAACAUGAUCGAGGUCAUCGGACUGCUCUUGACCUUCAAACCAUUUCUAGCCCUUCCUGAUGACAACAUUUCCUAGUUCAAUUUCAAAGGUUCACAUCAACCAACAGAGGCUAAAAAACCAUGAAGAUUGAUUCCAGAUUCUUUCCCAUAGCUAGCCAAAUUCUUCAACUUCAGCCGACCCUCAAGUGUAUCACCUUAUGUAGGAUUUUUGUACCGUUCCCACCUGUAAUUAACCUGAAAACCACAGAAGAGGUGCCUUUAUGCAUAUUUUCUUCUGGCAUGAUAUAUGACAUCUGCUCUAGUUUCUUCUCUCAUUUUCAUACUUUGGUGGGCUUGUAAGAGAUCUACUUCUAGUCUCACAUGAUUAUUUGAUUAAAAAAAAUAUAUCAUCCCGCUGGUUACAUAAGCCAGGACAAUGAACUGGCCUCAAGAGAAACACCUGCUGGACAUCCUGUCCCAUUCAUAAUUACAAAAUGGAUUGAAGAUCCGCGUCACAUCUCACAAGGGCAGCUUGAACAAGAUGUAAUGUCUAGUGUGAUAUAGUCCUGCAACUUCUUGUAGAUUUUGAUUUAGUCCAGGCAGUAAAGUAUUUACAAAAUCAUCCCCAAAGUUUUUAAUUGAAGGAACAUUAGAUGUUAGCUCUGUUAAGUCUCGGGAUGCAGUUUUAAAUGGAUCGCACUCAUUUCAUUU